AGCACAAAUCUCACCUUUGUGUCACUUGUCCUUGUAAGUUUUCUAUUGCCACACCUUGUUUGGCUCAUUGUGGUGUGUCAAGCCGUAACAGACCCAUUACUUCCCUGUGAGGCUCCAUACACCCACCAGUACGUGACAGUUGGUAAGAACUGCAGUUGUAGCAGCUGUUUUUCUCUCAGCGGCCUCAAGUGGCAACAAUGAGCCCAUUCCUUACUCCAAGUGACACAAGGGCCACUGUUAACCAUGCCAUAUACUGCAUUGCAACGUCAGGUCACUGGAUGUACAGCAUGAUCAUGGACUUUUAAUGGACUUCUUUUCCAUUCAGACCUUUGAAAAAGUAAGGAGUCUCUGAAGGCCAGUAUAAAAAAGAUAAUACUGUCUGCCUAAAAAUCAUCAUGCCUCUCUUCAGUAAGUACAGUAAAUGUGGCAAUUUAAUGAUUUAACUUGAAAUACAGCAUUG
rnacentral:lncRNA from 15 species